GGCAACAACAAAUAAGCAAAUGUUUAGAACGUGUCGGCAAAAGUAUGUUAUGAUACUGCUUAAGUGGUCAGCAUGGGUGAUAAGAAGCAGCAGUUUUAUUAUUGUUUUUAAAUUCUCUACAGCGGUGUAUCCUCUUACUGCCUGGACGCCCCUCCCACCACCCCAGCAUCAUCCACCUCUGAGCGGGGCAUGCACAGGAUGCUGGUGAUAAACAUUGACUCCCAGGAGGAACAUGGGUCCAGCAGCAGGAAGGAGACCUGGAGAAGCAAUAAAGUUGUGACACUCUUUCCAAAACUCAAGUAUGCUCCUUAGAGAUGAAAAGAAAACCAUCAGAGAUGAGUGAUGCCUGUAUUUCCAUGACAUGGCUUUUGUUACCAUAGCAAAGGGCACAGAGCUGCGAUGUCCAAGACUAAACAACUGGGUGUCUGUCAACUGUCUCAGCAAGAUUUGCUUCCUCUAUUGCAGACGGAAAGCUGAAUUUUCCAGUGCACUUCCCACAAAGUUGUCACUUCACCAGAUAUGUCUGGAGGGAGGCAGUGUGAGGCUGGGACAGCAAGUCACCAUCACCAAGGACUCAGGCUCCUUCUGUCCUUCUGCCCUGCCAUCUUCAGCUUGUGGCCUCCUUUCUCAAGGUCACAGGUUGGUGUUGGAGCCUUGGCCAUCAAAUCCGUCCUCCAGGCAGGCAGCCGAAAGCAGGGGA